rnacentral:piRNA from 1 species
UCCAACGUCUCAGGCAUUCUUUGGCACAAG